GACGAACGCUGGCGGCGUGCCUAACACAUGCAAGUCGAGCGAAUGAAGUUCCUUCGGGAACGGAUUUAGCGGCGGACGGGUGAGUAACACGUGGGCAACCUGCCUCAUAGAGGGGAAUAGCCUUCCGAAAGGGAGAUUAAUACCGCAUAAGAUUGUAGUACCGCAUGGUACAGCAAUUAAAGGAGCAAUCCGCUAUGAGAUGGGCCCGCGGCGCAUUAGCUAGUUGGUGAGGUAACGGCUCACCAAGGCGACGAUGCGUAGCCGACCUGAGAGGGUGAUCGGCCACAUUGGGACUGAGACACGGACCAGACUCCUACGGGAGGCAGCAGUGGGGAAUAUUGCACAAUGGGGGAAACCCUGAUGCAGCAACGCCGCGUGAGUGAUGACGGCCUUCGGGUUGUAAAGCUCUGUCUUCAGGGACGAUAAUGACGGUACCUGAGGAGGAAGCCACGGCUAACUACGUG
rnacentral:rRNA from 1 species